rnacentral:tRNA from 1 species
AAGGGAGACCUAAUUCCGGUAGGAGACGAAAAAAAAGUAGUCCCUACCAAGAAUCAAUCCCAAAAGGUCGAAGCGAGGCAAGAUUGGCUUUCAAACUAGGUUCUGGGUUCAAACAAGACCUGAAUCAGGAACAAGGGCUAUUAGCUCAGGUGGUUAGAGCGCACCCCUGAUAAGGGCGAGGUCCCUGGUUCGAGUCCAGGAUGGCCCACCUGCACAGGUGGCAAAAACAAAGAAGCGAGGAAUCAGCACCUUAUCUUACUCAUAUAGUAAGAGAGAAUGCUGGCUCUGGGUAAAGAGUCCAGAGGAACCUUGAAAACUGCAUAGAGCUAGGUGAAAAAGCCAAAAAAGAAGACCGCAA